rnacentral:rRNA from 1 species
CCUACGGGGCGCAGCAGUGAGGAAUAUUGGUCAAUGGGCUUACGCCUGAACCAGCCAAGUCGCGUGAGGGAAGACUGCCCUAUGGGUUGUAAACCUCUUUUGUCAGGGAGCAACGCCGGCUACGUGUAGCCGGACUGAGAGUACCUGAAGAAAAAGCAUCGGCUAACUCCGUGCCAGCAGCCGCGGUAAUACGGAGGAUGCGAGCGUUAUCCGGAUUUAUUGGGUUUAAAGGGUGCGCAGGCGGACCAUCAAGUCAGCGGUAAAAUCGUGGGGCCCAACCCCAUCCCGCCGUUGAAACUGGCGGG